rnacentral:rRNA from 1 species
GGCGUAGGUGGAGAAGUAAGUCAGAUGUGAAAGCCCGGGGCUCAACCCCGGAACAGCAUCUGAAACUGCUUUUCUAGAGGAUAGGCGGAGAAAACGGAAUUCCACGUGUAGCGGUGAAAUGCGUAGAUAUGUGGAAGAACACCCGUGGCGAAAGCGGUUUUCUAGCUUAUUCCUGACACUCAGGCCCGAAAGCAAGGGGAGCGAACAGGAUUAGAUACCCUGGUAGUCC